AUGUACGACACGUACACCCCCGCUUUCUCCGCAGCGUUCGUACCCGCCUGACAACCACGCGCUAAGUUUUGUCAGCC
rnacentral:sRNA from 1 species